rnacentral:rRNA from 1 species
GUGCAGCAGUGAGAAACCUCCGCAAUGCGGGAAACCGCGACGGGGGACCCCGAGUGCCGUGGCAACGCCACGGCUUUUCCGGAGUGUAAAAAGACUCCGGGAAUAAGGGCUGGGCAAGGCCGGUGGCAGCCGCCGCGGUAAUACCGGCGGCCCGAGUGGUGGCCGCUAUUAUUGGGCCUAAAGCGUCCGUAGCCGGGGCCCCGUAAGUCCCUGGCG